rnacentral:lncRNA from 1 species
AAGCUGACAUUGUAUCUGCAGAGAGUAAAGAUUCUAGUUAGACUUUUGUACUUGAUCCUAAUCUGUUCUAAGGUCUUUUAGAACAAAUGUAACUCCCACUAUUUUCUCGAAUCCCUCACACUCCCCUGGUAGGAAAACGGAAAUCCCACACGACUAGGGUUUCUAGUGGGUACUGCGGUCCCACCGAUUUACAUGCCACCUCACCUAACAGUUAUUGGUGACACAUAGAUGGAUGAGUGUACAACUCUUGUACAAUGCUUCUCAAGCAUGGUGCAGUGUAACUUGGUCUCUAAGCCAUGAAGACCUCACCUAACAGUUAUUGGUCCC